ACGGGUGAGUAACGCGUGAGCAAUCUGCCCUUCGGAGGGGGACAACAGCUGGAAACGGCUGCUAAUACCGCAUAACGUAUCGUGGUGGCAUCACCGUGAUACCAAAGAUUUAUCGCCGAAGGAUGAGCUCGCGUCUGAUUAGCUAGUUGGUAGGGUAAUGGCCUACCAAGGCUGCGAUCAGUAGCCGGACUGAGAGGUUGAACGGCCACAUUGGGACUGAGAUACGGCCCAGACUCCUACGGGAGGCAGCAGUGGGGAAUAUUGGGCAAUGGGCGAAAGCCUGACCCAGCAACGCCGCGUGAAGGAAGAAGGCCUUCGGGUUGUAAACUUCUUUGACCAGGGACGAAAUUUGACGGUACCUGGAAAACAAGCCACGGCUAACUACGUGCCAGCAGCCGCGGUAAUACGUAGGUGGCAAGCGUUGUCCGGAUUUACUGGGUGUAAAGGGCGCGUAGGCGGGACUGCAAGUCAGAUGUGAAAUCUGGGGGCUUAACCCUCAAACUGCAUUUGAAACUGUGGUUCUUGAGUAUCGGAGAGGCAGGCGGAAUUCCUAGU
rnacentral:rRNA from 1 species